AUUGAACGCUGGCGGCAUGCCUUACACAUGCAAGUCGAACGGCAGCACGGGAGCAAUCCUGGUGGCGAGUGGCGAACGGGUGAGUAAAGUAUCGGAACGUGCCCAGUCGUGGGGGACAACGUAGCGAAAGUUACGCUAAUACCGCAUACGAUCUAUGGAUGAAAGCGGGGGAUCGCAAGACCUCGCGCGAUUGGAGCGGCCGAUAUCAGAUUAGGUAGUUGGUGGGGUAAAGGCUCACCAAGCCGACGAUCUGUAGCUGGUCUGAGAGGACGACCAGCCACACUGGGACUGGGACACGGCCCAGACUCCUACGGGAGGCAGCAGUGGGGAAUUUUGGACAAUGGGCGCAAGCCUGAUCCAGCCAUGCCGCGUGCAGGAUGAAGGCCUUCGGGUUGUAAACUGCUUUUGUACGGAACGAAAAGGUUUGGCCUAAUAAGCUGAGCUCAUGACGGUACCGUAAGAAUAAGCACCGGCUAACUACGUGCCAGCAGCCGCAGUAA
rnacentral:rRNA from 1 species